rnacentral:rRNA from 1 species
AACGAACGCUGGCGGCGUGCCUAAUACAUGCAAGUCGUACGAGAAAGUCACUUCGGUGGCGAGUAGAGUGGCGCACGGGUGAGUAACACGUAGGUGACCUCCCUUAUAGAGUGGGAUAACAGUAAGAAAUUAUUGCUAAUACCGCAUAGCUUUAUGAAUUGGAAUAAAUAAAGGAAAGAUGGCCUCUACUGUUAAGCCAUCGCUAUAGGAAGGGCCUGCGGCCCAUUAGCUAGUUGGGGAGGUAAUGGCUCACCAAGGCAUUGAUGGGUAGCCGGGCUGAGAGGAUGAUCGGCCACACUGGAACUGAGACACGGUCCAGACUCCUACGGGAGGCAGCAGUAGGGAAUAUUGCGCAAUGGGCGAAAGCCUGACGCAGCAACGCCGCGUGAGUGAGGAAGGCCUUAGGGUUGUAAAGCUCUGUCGUAAGGGAAAAACAGUAUAUAUUUAAUAGAUAUGUGCCUGAUGGUACCUUAAAAGAAAGCACCGGCUAACUUCGUGCCAGCCGCCGCAGUAA